rnacentral:lncRNA from 1 species
GAGAGGAGAUUUCUAAAACCAAAGCUUUUUUUUUUUUGUGGACCGAUUUCCUGAUCUACUGACAUGUAAAUGAGGGGGUUCUGUGGAGAGCAGAAUAUUGGAAUCUAGAUUACAGUUCUUAACCAAAGGAAUCCAUGGCUCUAUUAAGGAAAAUUAAUCAGAUCUUAUUAUUCCUACUUGUUUUGACCAUCUGUCUCAUUCUGUAUAAUAAAGUUCACAAGGCGCCAUCUACG